rnacentral:rRNA from 1 species
CCUACGGGAGACAGCAGUGGGGGAUAUUGCACAAUGGGGGGAACCCUGAUGCAGCGACGCCGCGUGGGUGAAGAAGCGCCUCGGCGCGUAAAGCCCUGUCAGCAGGGAAGAAAAUGACGGUACCUGAAGAAGAAGCUCCGGCUAACUACGUGCCAGCAGCGGCGGUAAUACGCAGGGGGCAAGCGUUAUCCGGAUUUACUGGGGGUAAGGGGGGUGCAGACGGAGUUGCAAGCCAGGAGUGAAAGUCCGGGGCCCAACCCCGGUACUGCACUUGGAACUGCGUGGCUGGAGUGCAGGAGGGGCAGGCGGAAUUCGUGGUGUAGCGGUGAAAUGCGUAGAUAUCAGGAGGAACACCGGUGGCGAAGGCAGCCUGCUGGACUGCAACUGACAUUGAGGCCCGAAAGCGUGGGGAGCAAACAGGAUUAGAUACCCCAGUAGUC